rnacentral:rRNA from 1 species
AUGGGCGCAAGCCUGAUCCAGCCAUGCCGCGUGAGUGAAGAAGGCCUUCGGGUUGUAAAGCUCUUUCGGCGGGGACGAAACGGUCCGUGACAACACCGCGGACUAAUGACGGUACUCGCAGAAGAAGCACCGGCUAACUACGUGCCAGCAGCCGCGGUAAUACGUAGGGUGCGGGCGUUAAUCGGAAUUACUGGGCGUAAAGCGUGCGCAGGCGGCUCCUUAAGUCAGAUGUGAAAUCCCCGGGCUUAACCUGGGAACUGCGUUUGAAACUGAGGGGCUCGAGUGUGGAAGAGGGGGGUGGAAUUCCAGGUGUAGCAGUGAAAUGCGUAGAGAUCUGGAGGAACACCGAUGGCGAAGGCAGCCCCCUGGGCUAACACUGACGCUCAUGCACGAAAGCGUGGGGAGCAAACAGGAUUAGAUACCCUGGUAGUCCACGCCCUAAACGAUGUCAACUGGUUGUCGGGGAAGCAAUUCCUUGGUAACGAAGCUAACGCGUGAAGUUGACCGCCUGGGGAGUACGGCCGCAAGGUUAAAACUCAAAGGAAUUGACGGGGACCCGCACAAGCGGUGGAUUAUGUGGAUCAAUUCGAUGCAACGCGAAAAACCUUACCUACCCUUGACAUGUACGGAACCCCGCAGAAAUGCGGGGGUGCCCGAAAGGGAGCCGUAACACAGGUGCUGCAGGGCUGUCGUCAGCUCGUGUCGUGAGAUGUUGGGUUAAGUCCCGCAACGAGCGCAACCCUUGUCACUAGUUGCUACAUUCAGUUGGGCACUCUAAUGAGACUGCCGGUGACAAACCGGAGGAAGGUGGGGAUGACGUCAAGUCCUCAUGGCCCUUAUGGGUAGGGCUUCACACGUAAUACAAUGGCCGGUACAGAGGGCUGCCAACCCGCGAGGGGGUGCUAAUCCCAGAAAGCCGGUCGUAGUCCGGAUUGUUCUCUGCAACUCGAGAGCAUGAAGUCGGAAUCGCUAGUAAUCGCGGAUCAGCAUGUCGCGGUGAAUACGUUCCCGGGUCUUGUACACACCGCCCGUCACACCA